rnacentral:rRNA from 1 species
AUUCCAGCUCCAAUAGCGUAUAUUAAAGUUGUUGCAGUUAAAAAGCUCGUAGUCGAACUUCAGGCCUGGCCGGGCGGUCUGCUUAACGGUAUGUACUGUCUGGCUGGGCCUUACCUCUUGGUGAGCCGGCAUGCCCUUCACUGGGUGCGUCGGUGAACCAGGACUUUUACCUUGAGAAAAUUAGAGUGUUCAAAGCAGGCCUAUGCCCGAAUACAUUAGCAUGGAAUAAUAAAAUAGGACGUGUGGUUCUAUUUUGUUGGUUUCUAGAGUCACCGUAAUGAUUAAUAGGGAUAGUUGGGGGCAUUAGUAUUCAGUUGCUAGAGGUGAAAUUCUUGGAUUUACUGAAGACUAACUUCUGCGAAAGCAUUUGCCAAGGAUGUUUUCAUUA